rnacentral:misc_RNA from 1 species
UUUAAUUUUUUUUUUUUAAUUUUUGCGUCUCGCCAUGUCUUGCUAAGGCUCACAUCUUGUGCGUUGGUCUCAGGAUCCUUGUCGCCUUGGUACACCUUUGGCCUUUAAUAACUAACCUUCUUUCUUUUGCAGGAUCUUGUGUUUUCUGAUUUUUAAAAAUCUAAUUGGUUCCUUGAAAAUAAAAGGAUAAAACUUUAGAUAAACUUCAAACUUGUACUCCAGUGGGCUCAAAUUACAAAUGUAUGAAAUUAAGGAUAACCCAUUCCUCUUUUUUGCCCAUUAUUUAAGAAGAUCUUCCCAUUUGCAGUACUGCCCACCUGCCAAUGCGCGAUAAUAUCUAUCUCGGCAGUAGACUGGUCUUCCAUCAGCAGCCUUGGCUGCAGCUUCUGCCAAAUCAUCAUCAGCCAUAACCUCCACUGGCAAACUGAGCAAUUCCUCUUUUCUGACAUUAUACUUCGUGUUGAUAUUUGAAGUUGGACCACUUGAUGGCCUCUCUUUUGUGGCAAAAUUGUUUUGAAAGAAAUUCUCCACUGGUGUGGCAAAGAUAAAUAGUAAUACUCCUGUAACGAGUAAUGCACCUGUUCCUACUAAUGUUUGUUUCAGCAGUUUUAUGACUGGUUUAACCUUGUAAGAGCCCAACAAUCUGUCACGAGCCAGGACCUGCCAGAGGAAAAAGAAGAUUUUUUAUUAUUUUCCUA